GGUUAAGUUAGAAAGGGCGCACGGUGAAUGCCUUGGCACUAGGAGCCGAUGAAGGACGGGACUAACACCGAUAUGCUUCGGGGAGCUGUAAGUGAGCUUUGAUCCGGAGAUUUCCGAAUGGGGAAACCCACUGUUCGUAAUGGAACAGUAUCUUUAUCUGAAUACAUAGGAUAUUGAAGGCAGACCCGGGGAACUGAAACAUCUAAGUACCCGGAGGAAGAGAAAGCAAAUGCGAUUUCCUGAGUAGCGGCGAGCGAAACGGAAUUAGCCCAAACUAAGAGGUUUGCCUCUUGGGGUUGUAGGACACUCUAUACGGAGUUACAAAGGAACGAAGUAAAUGAAGCGACCUGGAAAGGUCCGUCGAAGAAGGUAACAACCCUGUAGUUGAAACUUCGUUCCCUCUUGAGUGGAUCCUGAGUACGGCGGAACACGUGAAAUUCCGUCGGAAGCUGGGAGGACCAUCUCCCAAGGCUAAAUACUACCUAGUGACCGAUAGUGAACCAGUACCGUGAGGGAAAGGUGAAAAGCACCCCGGAAGGGGAGUGAAAGAGAUCCUGAAACCGUGUGCCUACAAGUAGUCAGAGCCCGUUAACGGGUGAUGGCGUGCCUUUUGUAGAAUGAACCGGCGAGUUACGAUCCCAUGCAAGGUUAAGCUGAUAAGGCGGAGCCGUAGCGAAAGCGAGUCUGAAUAGGGCGUUUAGUAUGUGGUUGUAGACCCGAAACCAGGUGAUCUACCCAUGUCCAGGGUGAAGUUCAGGUAACACUGAAUGGAGGCCCGAACCCACGCACGUUGAAAAGUGCGGGGAUGAGGUGUGGGUAGCGGAGAAAUUCCAAUCGAACCUGGAGAUAGCUGGUUCUCUCCGAAAUAGCUUUAGGGCUAGCCUCAUGUUGUGAGAGUCUUGGAGGUAGAGCACUGAUUGGACUAGGGGCCCCCAACGGGUUACCGAAUUCAGUCAAACUCCGAAUGCCAAAGACUUAUCCAUGGGAGUCAGACUGCGAGUGAUAAGAUCCGUAGUCAAAAGGGAAACAGCCCAGACCACCAGCUAAGGUCCCCAAGUAUACGUUAAGUGGAAAAGGAUGUGGAGUUGCUUAGACAACCAGGAUGUUGGCUUAGAAGCAGCCACCAUUUAAAGAGUGCGUAAUAGCUCACUGGUCGAGUGACUCUGCGCCGAAAAUGUACCGGGGCUAAACGUAUCACCGAAGCUGUGGAUUGACAUCUUUGAUGUCAGUGGUAGGAGAGCGUUCUAAGUGCUGUGAAGUCAGACCGUAAGGACUGGUGGAGCGCUUAGAAGUGAGAAUGCCGGUAUGAGUAGCGAAAGACAAGUGAGAAUCUUGUCCACCGAAUGCCUAAGGUUUCCUGAGGAAGGCUCGUCCGCUCAGGGUUAGUCGGGACCUAAGCCGAGGCUGAAAAGCGUAGGCGAUGGCCAACAGGUUGAUAUUCCUGUACCACCUCCCCGCCGUUUGAGUAAUGGGGGGACGCAGUAGGAUAGGGUAAGCGCGCUGCUGGAUAUGCGCGUUCAAGCAGUUAGGCUGAUGAGUAGGCAAAUCCGCUCAUCAUAAAGGCUGAGCUGUGAUGACGAGGGAAUUAUAGUACCGAAGUUCCUGAUUCCACACUGCCAAGAAAAGCCUCUAGCGAGGCGGGAGGUGCCCGUACCGCAAACCGACACAGGUAGGUGAGGAGAGAAUCCUAAGGUGAUCGAGAGAACUCUCGUUAAGGAACUCGGCAAAAUGACCCCGUAACUUCGGGAGAAGGGGUGCUCUGGUAGGGUGUAUAGCCCGAGAGAGCCGCAGUGAAUAGGCCCAGGCGACUGUUUAGCAAAAACACAGGUCUCUGCGAAGCCGCAAGGCGAAGUAUAGGGGCUGACGCCUGCCCGGUGCUGGAAGGUUAAGAGGAGGGGUUAUCCUUUGGGAGAAGCUCUGAAUCGAAGCCCCAGUAAACGGCGGCCGUAACUAUAACGGUCCUAAGGUAGCGAAAUUCCUUGUCGGGUAAGUUCCGACCCGCACGAAAGGCGUAACGAUCUGGGCACUGUCUCAACGAGAGACUCGGUGAAAUUAUAGUACCUGUGAAGAUGCAGGUUACCCGCGACAGGACGGAAAGACCCCGUGGAGCUUUACUGUAGCCUGAUAUUGAAUUUUGGUACAGCUUGUACAGGAUAGGUAGGAGCCUGAGAAGCCGGAGCGCUAGCUUCGGUGGAGGCGUCGGUGGGAUACUACCCUGGCUGUAUUGAAAUUCUAACCCGCGGCCCUGAUCGGGCCGGGAGACAGUGUCAGGUGGGCAGUUUGACUGGGGCGGUCGCCUCCUAAAAUGUAACGGAGGCGCCCAAAGGUUCCCUCAGAAUGGUUGGAAAUCAUUCGUAGAGUGUAAAGGCACAAGGGAGCUUGACUGCGAGACCUACAAGUCGAGCAGGGACGAAAGUCGGGCUUAGUGAUCCGGUGGUUCCGCAUGGAAGGGCCAUCGCUCAACGGAUAAAAGCUACCCCGGGGAUAACAGGCUUAUCUCCCCCAAGAGUCCACAUCGACGGGGAGGUUUGGCACCUCGAUGUCGGCUCAUCGCAUCCUGGGGCUGUAGUCGGUCCCAAGGGUUGGGCUGUUCGCCCAUUAAAGCGGUACGCGAGCUGGGUUCAGAACGUCGUGAGACAGUUCGGUCCCUAUCCGUCGUGGGCGUAGGAAAUUUGAGAGGAGCUGUCCUUAGUACGAGAGGACCGGGAUGGACACACCGCUGGUGUACCAGUUGUCUUGCCAAAGGCAUCGCUGGGUAGCUAUGUGUGGACGGGAUAAGUGCUGAAAGCAUCUAAGCAUGAAGCCCCCCUCAAGAUGAGAUUUCCCAUAGCGCAAGCUAGUAAGAUCCCUGAAAGAUGAUCAGGUUGAUAGGUCAGAGGUGGAAGCGUGGCGACAUGUGUAGCUGACUGAUACUAAUCGAUCGAGGACUUAACCAA
rnacentral:rRNA from 1 species